rnacentral:rRNA from 1 species
UGGGGAAUUGUUCACAAUGGGCGCAAGCCUGAUGACGCAACGCCGCGUGGGGGAUGAAGGUCUUCGGAUCGUAAACCCCUGUCGAAUGGGACGAAUAACCUCUGGGCUAAUCACCAGGGGAAUGACGGUACCGUUAAAGGAAGCCACGGCUAACUCUGUGCCAGCAGCCGCGGUAAGACAGAGGGUGCAAACGUUGUUCGGAAUUACUGGGCGUAAAGCGAGUGUAGGCGGUCUGAAAAGUCAGGUGUGAAAGCCCUGGGCUCAACCCAGGAAGUGCACUUGAAACUGCCAGGCUAGAGUAUCGGAGAGGUUGGUGGAAUUCUCGGUGUAGAGGUGAAAUUCGUAGAUAUCGAGAGGAACACCGGUGGCGAAGGCGGCCAACUGGACGAAUACUGACGCUGAGACUCGAAAGCGUGGGGAGCAAA